rnacentral:lncRNA from 1 species
CUCCCUCCCUAAGUCAAUAUUAACUGAGCACCCUGCACACACCAGGCUCUUGGCCAGGGGCUGGGGAAUCAGAAAUGGAGACACCCCUGCUGCCUGCAAUGAGCUUAGAGUCCAAAAGGCCCCUGUGCAGAGGGGCCAUGGUGCAGAACUGCCACCGGUGUCCUGGAGCUGUGGGCUCCCUCCCCUUCUCUCAGUCCUCGGCAACGGUGGGGAUCAGCUCUCAGCCUGCAGCGCCCCGUCCUCCGGUCAGCACCACUUCCUUUUGUGAUGCCUCUUUUCCUCUGUGCAGAGGUGCCUCGUCCUUUUUUCUCCUAAAGCUGGGGUUGAGGACCCCAGCACUGACAGCACACACAGACCCCAACCCAGACCUCUGAGUCAGACUCUGCCUGGGAACAAGAUCUGCCUGUGAUUCCUGCAGUUUCCAUCACGCCCUGCAGGUGGAAAGAAAAACUUCCAUGUGGGAUUUCAGAAGAAUGGAUGGCUUGGUCAAGGGGCUGCCCUGCUCGGGAUGAUUUUAAGCAAGUGUAAGAGGUUGGAAUUUUUUCCUGGGUGAGGUGCCCUCUUCUUGGGCUCAGAGGGAGGCAGCCUGGCAGCUGCUGGUGAUAGGGAAUGGCAAGGGCAGGCUGCCGGGAGGCCAGCUCGUCUUUGACCCCCCACCGACUCCUGGAGCUGUCUUGGGCCACACGCUUCUCCACGAUAGUUCUCUCCGUUGUAAUAUGGGGAUGAUUAAAAAAGAAAAAGUCUGGGUUUUGGGGGAAUGAGCAGGCCCAUAGCUAGUGGGUAUCUGCAUGAUGUGGGCAUGGCCAUGACUGUAGGACAGGCAGUGGGUGGCACUGGAGGGAGUCAAAGUUCAGGAGUUUGAUCUGGGGAACUCCUGGCUCCUCAUCUUCAAAGUGAGGAUAGCACCUGCUCAGGGCUGUCUUGCGGGUUAAAUGAGAUUAUGCAUGCCAAACGCCCAGCAGGAGCUGUUAUUUUUGUAAAAACAAUUGGUUUGGGAAACCACCCUGUGUACGCAGAGCUGGCUCUCAGCUUCAGGGCACCAGCACCAGACUCAUGCCCAGAGACGGGAGGCGCAGGUGGAGGGAGGGGCCACUUGUGACUGUGGCAGUGUCUUCUAGAUUGUUCUGCAGGACAUUUAGACCUAGAUUCUCGAGAGAAUCUGUAAGGAGUGCAGAAAUUAACAUGACAUGCUGCUAAGUGGAUUUCUUUCUCUUCAAGGUAAUGGCAGCUAUGAGAGUCGCUCGUGGUGACGGGUUUUCUAUUUCAAAGAACCUAAUGUAGUAAGGUCGCCUAUAAAUAUUCGGUCAUAGAAGGUGAGCCUCCUCCAGGAAAUUUUGCUGAUGGAUUUUGCUCCUUUUGGAUCCAUAUUUCCAAAGCUGAUUUUAUCUUGUGCCUCUGGUGAUUGGCAAGAUGGGGAAGCCACCGCCUGUAUUCAGAACAAAAUUCACAGAGCACACGGUCACUUUUGUUCCUUUAUUAGGGUCUUCUCAAGAACUGAAGGAGAGAUUAAAAAAAAAAAAGAAAAAAGAAAAGAAAAGAAAAGAGUUCUUGAGUCACUGAAGCAUUUAAUUAGGUGGUUUGGGAUCCUCUGAGAUCCUGCAGCUUAGGAGCAGAGUCAACUGCUGGCCAGGACCUUAAUUCCUGAGGUCUUAUUCAGUAAGUGCCUACUGGGUGCAUUGAAGGUCAUGUGCUUGGAGCAAUGGAGGGUGGGAUGGUGGGAUGUGCUGAUGAAGGGGACAUGGACCCUGUCCUCCUAAGCCAGGAUGGGAGGGACAGGCAGAGCCUGGCAGGCUCUGGGCGAGGCUUGGGCUGCUGUGGAAUACAGCUGCCGUCAGGAGAUGUGUGUGGGGAGGGCUGGGUUAGCGCCAGCUGAGAGGAGGGCCUGGGGAAAUGGUGACCUACGAUGGGCUCUUGAAGGAUGGGAAGGACCCCAGCAGAAAGCCACGUGGGAACAGGCCUGUUCCCCUGGGGUGGGUGCCGUCAGCUGGCCAGAGCUGAGCAGUCUGGAGAGACCUGGGCAGGGACUGUGGAAAGCAGCAAAACCAGAGAGGUUCCUGGCCGCAUUCCUAGUGGCUGGUCCAGCCCUGAGGGUUUGCGCCUCCCCUGGGCCUCGGGUGAGUUGAGGAGCUGUUCUGCCCAGCCUCUUGGGCCUCCCUGUUCCCAGGCAGCAGGAAGGCCCUCGUCAGAGCGGCUCUGUUCUAGGCCAGAGUUCUCCAGGCUUCCGUGGGGCUUUCUCACGUCCCUGAUGCACACCUCCCAUGGGUCUCCAGCCCCAGCCAGAUCUGGCCAGGAGCAAUCCUGGGCCUUGUUCCUCUAACCAGGCUGCUCUCACCUGGCCCAGAGCUACAGCCAUAAACCCAGUGCUGUCUGCGGUGCCCCAGGGACAUCAACCUGCCAGACCAGAGGGUCAGGAGUGCAAGGACUUGAGGAGUGCUGGAAGCGAGCACGCGAGUCCCUGGACGCUCUGCGGCAACACGAGGGACUUCUGGGUCACCAUGAUGUGACCAGACACCAACCAGCAAAACCCCACGAAGGAAUGACUGGAACCUGGCAGGGACAGAGGUGUCCAGCUCGGGGUCGCAGUCCUGCUGGGGACCUCACAGGGAGGGGAUGGGAAGGCUCCACACAGGGGGCACCUCUUCCUGCCUUGGAUUCUGUGCCCGCCCCCCCACUUGGUUUCCCACAAGACGAGGGGAGCCCCAGAGCGUCUGCUGGGGGGAGCCCCAGAGCGUCUGCCGAGGGCCACACCAUCCAUCCUGGGCAGGGCGCUGCACCGGCCCUCACCUGCCCUCCCAGCCCCUACUGGCCGCUGCGGUGUACCUGGUGUACCUGUGGGCAACUUACCAAUGCCAGCGUGGGACCUCCAGCUGUGACUCACUCCCACGGGAUUUGAAAGAUGAAGCCAAAACGUUCAUUUUGUUCCAGAACAUAAAAUUGAUCCAUGUUCAGAGCUCAUAGCACACAAUUUGGAAAUUGAGCUG